AUAGAGGGCUGCGGGUCAUCAAAGCCCAGUGCUAAUCAACAAUGCUCUCUCAGAGAGCCCAGUCCCAAGGUCAUCUGGCCACUCUUCUGGGAUUCUUGACAUCACAGGAGAGGAGGAGGAACUGCGAAGGAACAGAGGUUGUGGGUGGAGAGAGAAUGAACCAUCUCUAGGUCCGGCUCCAAUCACCCUUCAGGUGUACGCAUUCAGAUGUGUCAGCAUAAGGGCCCCUACGAAGGCAACGAUGUCACCACUUGCAGGAAAAUGGAGACUCAGAGGCAGCUUGCAGGUGUGCACGCUCACAUUGAAACCCUGAGUACACGGAGUGAAAAAAAGAACUUCCCAGUAGGCUAUGAGCCGUGAGCAGACUGCGAAACCAUGAAGGAGAGACGACAGGAAUGCCAGAGCCUGAACUCAGCCAACUGUGAAAAUAAACUGUGAUUAUAAGAAG
rnacentral:lncRNA from 1 species